UAGUCGCUAGGUGGCCCAGGUGCUGUGCUGAGCUGAGCUGCUGAUGGCCACAUUUAUCAUGGCGUCGUAGCGGCUAGUUAUAUCACGGCAGCCGAACGUGGUAGACCUUUAUUUUUGUAGAUGAAAUCCAAGGGAGGAAAUGCAAAUGCUCGGCGCCAUCUUGUACGAACGAUGUGGUCUGGCGGACACCUUACCAAGGUUUUUAACUUGUGCAUCGUAACGAUUUUGAAUUGGGUAAGUUGCAAGUCGGUAGAUUUGCUCUGCAGUUUCCCGGAUACCAGCACCCUGCUUCGCGAGAACUACUCUACGUUGUUCUGGGGGGCUUAGACGAACAUCUGAAUCCGAUUUUGAAGAAGUCUUGCAUCGAUGGACACUGACAAAAUAUAGGAAGCUGCACAUGAAUGUUGGGUAUUUUAUCAUAAGUAGAAUACAGAUAGAUUCUGUAGUAGUAGAUCUCUUUAGUUGGGUAUUGAAAUUGGCUUUGGUUUGUAUGGGGUCUGAUGAGGUCUCAGUUGCAUUUGAUCCUACUUGUUAUUUAUCACUGCCAAUGCCAGUCGAAAAGGAAGUACCAGUUGACCUGUAUCUGGCUAACGUGGACCUUUUAGCAGAAAUUUUUCUGCUUUCAAGGGAUUCAAAGAGUUUGUAGAAUAUUAUGUCUCUAGGAUUCCACAGUUUUAGGUAAUUCAAUUGACAAGAAAUUUACACUGAUUCUUGUUUUAUUUUUCUAAAGGCAGAUUCUUAAUUAUAAAGGAUUGGGAAAGAAAAUUGACGGAGGCUCAGUGCCAAAAAAAUUAUGGUAGUUGGAAUGAUUACCGAAGCUCUUCGGAUUCGUUUAUUUCACUCGUUAUGCGGGUCAUGCAGAUACUGUGAUCAGCAGAAAAAGUUGGAAGUGCGCUGCCCGGAAAGCAAAUCUGGGGUAAAAGAAAAAAACUUAUUCCAACUAGUAAGCCAUUCCCAAAUUCAACCAACAAAAAGGAAAAGGUGGAAGGAAAAACUUCGUUCUCUGGUAGUGUUUUAGUUAAAAUCCUUUUUGUGCAAAUUCAUUUUUGAAAUUGUUUACCUCAUUUUCGAAUGGUUCCGUUCACAUUUGUUGUUCAUGUGAGAUUUUAUGUUUACCAGUUACUGCAUUAUAUUGACCACUAUUGCAAGAUGUUUGUUUAGGAAUAACUACUGUUUUGUUUAUCUGGAAUGUUGUGUGGGAGUCCAUCAGGAAUUGCUGGUCUGCAGUAAAUUUGUCAGGCUAGGUGAUGAAGAUCAAUGAAUCAGAAAAUGUUUUGCAUGGGUGGUGAAUGUUCUGACAGUUUUAACAGUUGUGAUGUGGUGUAUUUCACUUCCACGCAUCAUGGUGUUUUUAUCUAUCAGUUGAAUUGUAUGGUUAAUUUUCUGUUCGUGUAACCUCAUUUCCUCUUGAAUCAUAUAGUAGAAAUUGGUGACCUGAAACAAUGAACAUGGAAAAAUCACCUGUGCCAACGUUGACGAUGUUUGAUUGAUGAAGUGCUGGAAACUAAAAUUAAUUUUCUUUACAA